GCUACCAUGUAAACAUGGAAAUCAUGCAACCAUCAGAAUAAAAGAACCUAUCAGAAGCACAUAUCAAAUCAUGCAACCAUCAGAAUAAAAGAUUUUUACAGUUCUAUCACCAUAGUCAUGUCAUUAAAAAGAGACAUAUCCUACAUAAACAUAUAUAUCAAGCCUAAACAAGUAGUAAACAUGUUUACACCCCAUGAGCAGCCAAGAAGCAAGAAGCAAUAGCCAGUACUACUGCCUCAAGCCCUUGAACACAAAAAGGCGAGAACUGGAUGCAGAGGUUUAUCGAUCGAUUCCCGCGUUGUCGUUGGCUGCAACAAGGACCAAAAGGAAGAAAAAAAAAAGAACACCCUCUCAAAGAAAUUCGCCGCUCCUGGAUCAGCGCCACAAGGCAGGGAAGGGAUCGAUAAACCACUGCGCCCAGGCAUCACCACCAACCCCCCACCCCCACCUGCGAACAUGAUGGAUUAGCGCAAGAAACCGGAACAAAACAAGAACGGAACACAGAGCCACCUGCAAGAUCGGGCACGAACGAACACUCGUGGGUGUGAAUCUGUGUUUCUCGUGUGUGCAAUGAGGAAGG
rnacentral:precursor_RNA from 1 species